rnacentral:rRNA from 1 species
GACGAAGGAUGCAAGCGUUAUCCGGAUUCAUUGGGUUUAAAGGGUGCGUAGGUGGUCUUAUAAGUCAGUGGUGAAAUCUCUGGGCUUAACCCAGAAAUUGCCAUUGAUACUGUAGGACUUGAGUAUAGUUGCCGUUGGCGGAAUAUGACAUGUAGUGGUGAAAUGCAUAGAGAUGUCAUAGAACACCGAUUGCGAAGGCAGGUAACGAAACUAUAACUGACACUGAGGCGCGAAAGCGUGGGGAGCAAACAGG